GUCUACAGCCAUGCCACCCUGAACAUGCCACCGUGAUCUCCGAAGCUAAGGAGGGUUGGGCCUGGUUAGUACUUGGAUGGGAGACCACCUAGGAAUACCAGGUGCUGUAGGCA
rnacentral:rRNA from 1 species